rnacentral:rRNA from 1 species
UUCGGAUUGUAAACUCCUGUUGCCCGGGACGAACGGCUCUGACCUAACACGUCGGAGUUUGACGGUACCGGGUGAGGAAGCCCCGGCUAACUCUGUGCCAGCAGCCGCGGUAAUACAGAGGGGGCAAGCGUUGUUCGGAAUUACUGGGCGUAAAGGGCGCGUAGGCGGCCUGCUAAGUCGGACGUGAAAUCCCCGGGCUCAACCCGGGAACUGCGUCCGAUACUGGUUGGCUUGAAUUCGGGAGAGGGAUGCGGAAUUCCAGGUGUAGCGGUGAAAUGCGUAGAUAUCUGGAGGAACACCGGUGGCGAAGGCGGCAUCCUGGACCGACAUUGACGCUGAGGCGCGAAAGCCAGGGGAGCAAACGGGAUUAGAUACCCUGGUAGUCCUAGCCGUAAACGGUGCACGUUUGCUGUAAGAGGAAUCGACCCCUUUUGUGGCGAAGCUAACGCGAUAAACGUGCCGCCUGGGAAGUACGGUCGCAAGAUUAAAACUCAAAGAAAUUGACGGGGGCCUGCACAAGCGGUGGAGUAUGUGGCUUAAUUCGAUGCAACGCGAAGAACCUUACCUGGCCUUGACAUGCAUGUGGUAGAACCAUGAAAGUGGGACGACCCCGCAAGGGGAGCAUGCACAGGUGCUGCAUGGCUGUCGUCAGCUCGUGUCGUGAGAUGUUGGGUUAAGUCCCGCAACGAGCGCAACCCUU